rnacentral:rRNA from 1 species
UACGAAGGUCCCGAGCGUUAUCCGGAUUUAUUGGGUUUAAAGGGUGCGUAGGCGGGUUAUUAAGUCAGUGGUGAAAGCCUACAGCUUAACUGUAGAAUUGCCAUUGAUACUGAUAAUCUUGAGUAUGAUUGAGGUGGGCGGAAUGUGUCAUGUAGCGGUGAAAUGCUUAGAUAUGACACAGAACACCGAUUGCGAAGGCAGCUCACUACACGAAUAUUGACACUGAGGCACGAAAGCGUGGGGAUCAAACAGG